rfam:Staphylococcus microti strain DSM 22147 contig_36, whole genome shotgun sequence.
AGCUACAUACAACCGCUCAAAUAUGGGUUUAAGAACGUAAUGUCACCUAUAUAUGGCGUGACUUAAAAUUUAG